UACGUAGGUGGCAAGCGUUGUCCGGAUUUACUGGGCGUAAAGAGCGCGCAGGCGGUCGUUCAAGUCGCGUGUGAAAGCCCCCGGCUCAACUGGGGAGGGUCACGCGAUACUGAUCGACUCGAAGGCAGGAGAGGGUAGUGGAAUUCCCGGUGUAGUGGUGAAAUGCGUAGAUAUCGGGAGGAACACCAGUGGCGAAGGCGACUACCUGGCCUGUUUCUUGACGCUGAGGCGCGAAAGCUAGGGGAGCAAACCGG
rnacentral:rRNA from 1 species